GGGGAAUAUUGCACAAUGGGCGCAAGCCUGAUGCAGCCAUGCCGCGUGUGUGAAGAAGGCCUUCGGGUUGUAAAGCACUUUCAGCGAGGAGGAAGGGUAGUGUGUUAAUAGCACAUUGCAUUGACGUUACUCGCAGAAGAAGCACCGGCUAACUCCGUGCCAGCAGCCGCGGUAAUACGGAGGGUGCAAGCGUUAAUCGGAAUUACUGGGCGUAAAGCGCACGCAGGCGGUUUGUUAAGUCAGAUGUGAAAUUCCCGCGCUUAACGUGGGAACUG
rnacentral:rRNA from 1 species